GUGGGGAAUUUUGGACAAUGGGCGCAAGCCUGAUCCAGCAAUGCCGCGUGCAGGAAGAAGGCCUUCGGGUUGUAAACUGCUUUUGUACGGAACGAAACGGUCCUGGUUAAUACCUGGGGCUAAUGACGGUACCGUAAGAAUAAGCACCGGCUAACUACGUGCCAGCAGCCGCGGUAAUACGUAGGGUGCAAGCGUUAAUCGGAAUUACUGGGCGUAAAGCGUGCGCAGGCGGUUUUGUAAGACAGGCGUGAAAUCCCUGGGCUCAACCUGGGAAUUGCGCUUGUGACUGCAAGGCUGGAGUGCGGCAGAGGGGGAUGGAAUUCCGCGUGUAGCAGUGAAAUGCGUAGAUAUGCGGAGGAACACCGAUGGCGAAGGCAGCCUCCUGGGAUGACACUGACGCUCAUGCACGAAAGCGUGGGGAGCAAACAGGAUUAGAAACCCUUGUAGUCC
rnacentral:rRNA from 1 species